GACAGAGGGGGCAAGCGUUGCUCGGAAUUACUGGGCGUAAGGGGCGCGUAGGCGGAAUGGCAAGUCGGUCGUGAAAUCCUUCGGCUCAACCGAAGAACGUCGAUCGAAACUGCCGUUCUUGAGGAUUGCAGAGGAGACUGGAAUUCCCGGUGUAGCGGUGAAAUGUGUAGAGAUCGGGAGGAACACCGGUGGCGAAGGCGGGUCUCUGGGCAAUUCCUGACGCUGAGGCGCGAAAGCGUGGGGAGCAAACGGG
rnacentral:rRNA from 1 species